rnacentral:rRNA from 1 species
CAGCCGCGGUAAUACGAAGGGUGCAAGCGUUACUCGGAAUUACUGGGCGUAAAGCGCGUGCAGGUGGCUCAUUACGCCCGGCGUGAAAGCCCCCGGCUCAACCGGGGAGGGUCGUCGGGGACGGAUGGGCUUGAGGGUCGCAGGGGCUGGUGGAAUUCCCGGUGUAGUGGUGAAAUGCGUAGAGAUCGGGAGGAACACCCGUGGCGAAGGCGGCCAGCUGGGCGACACCUGACACUGAGACGCGAAGGCGUGGGGAGCGAAC